rnacentral:rRNA from 1 species
CGAAAGGGCUGCGAACCCGCAGGGGGAGCGAAUCCCAAAAAGCCGCUCUCAGUUCGGAUUGCAGGCUGCAACUCGCCUGCAUGAAGCCGGAAUCGCUAGUAAUCGCGGAUCAGCAUGCCGCGGUGAAUACGUUCCCGGGCCUU